UGGGGAAUCUUGGACAAUGGGGGCAACCCUGAUCCAGCCAUGCCGCGUGAGUGAUGAAGGCCUUAGGGUCGUAAAGCUCUUUCGCCUGUGAAGAUAAUGACGGUAGCAGGUAAAGAAACCCCGGCUAACUCCGUGCCAGCAGCCGCGGUAAUACGGGAGGGGGUUAGCGUUGUUCGGAAUUACUGGGCGUAAAGCGCACGUAGGCGGACCAGAAAGUUGGGGGGUGAAAUCCCGGGGGCUCAACCCCGGAACUGCCUCCAAAACUAUUGGUCUAGAGUUCGAGAGAGGUGAGUGGAAUUCCAAGUGUAGAGGUGAAAUUCGUAGAUAUUUGGAGGAACACCAGUGGCGAAGGCGGCUCACUGGCUCGAUACUGACGCUGAGGUGCGAAAGUGUGGGGAGCAAACAGGAUUAGAUACCCUGGUAGUCCACACCGUAAAACGAUGAGCACUCGGUGCCGCGGGGUAUCGACCCCUGCGGUGCCUGAGCUAACGCAUUAAGUGCUCCGCCUGGGGGAGUA
rnacentral:rRNA from 1 species